CCGCGUGUAUGAAGUAAGGCCUUCGGGUUGUAAAGUACUUUCAGUCAGUGAGGAAGGUGGAUAUGUUAAUAGCAUAUUCAUUUGACGUUUAGCUGCAGAAGAAGCACCGGCUAACUCCGUGCCAGCAGCCGCGGUAAUACGGAGGGUGCGAGCGUUAAUCGGAAUUACUGGGCGUAAAGCGCAUGCAGGUGGUUUGUUAAGUCAGAUGUGAAAGCCCGGGGCUCAACCUCGGAAUUGCAUUUGAAACUGGCAAACUAGAGUACUGUAGAGGGGGUAGAAUUUCAGGUGUAGCGGUGAAAUGCGUAGAGAUCUGAAGGAAUACCGGUGGCGAAGGCGGCCCCCUGGACAGAUACUGACACUCAGAUGCGAAAGCGUGGGGAGCAAACAGGAUUAGAUACCCUGGUAG
rnacentral:rRNA from 1 species